AGAUUAAGUUAUUAAGGGCGCACGGUGGAUGCCUUGGCACUAGAAGCCGAUGAAGGACGUUACUAACGACGAUAUGCUUUGGGGAGCUGUAAGUAAGCUUUGAUCCAGAGAUUUCCGAAUGGGGAAACCCAGCAUGAGUUAUGUCAUGUUAUCGAUAUGUGAAUACAUAGCAUAUCAGAAGGCACACCCGGAGAACUGAAACAUCUUAGUACCCGGAGGAAGAGAAAGAAAAUUCGAUUCCCUUAGUAGCGGCGAGCGAAACGGGAAGAGCCCAAACCAACAAGCUUGCUUGUUGGGGUUGUAGGACACUCUAUACGGAGUUACAAAGGACGACAUUAGACGAAUCAUCUGGAAAGAUGAAUCAAAGAAGGUAAUAAUCCUGUAGUCGAAAAUGUUGUCUCUCUUGAGUGGAUCCUGAGUACGACGGAGCACGUGAAAUUCCGUCGGAAUCUGGGAGGACCAUCUCCUAAGGCUAAAUACUCUCUAGUGACCGAUAGUGAACCAGUACCGUGAGGGAAAGGUGAAAAGCACCCCGGAAGGGGAGUGAAAUAGAACCUGAAACCGUGUGCUUACAAGUAGUCAGAGCCCGUUAAUGGGUGAUGGCGUGCCUUUUGUAGAAUGAACCGGCGAGUUACGAUUUGAUGCAAGGUUAAGCAAUAAAUGUGGAGCCGUAGCGAAAGCGAGUCUGAAUAGGGCGUUUAGUAUUUGGUCGUAGACCCGAAACCAGGUGAUCUACCCUUGGUCAGGUUGAAGUUCAGGUAACACUGAAUGGAGGACCGAACCGACUUACGUUGAAAAGUGAGCGGAUGAACUGAGGGUAGCGGAGAAAUUCCAAUCGAACCUGGAGAUAGCUGGUUCUCUCCGAAAUAGCUUUAGGGCUAGCCUCAAGUGAUGAUUAUUGGAGGUAGAGCACUGUUUGGACGAGGGGCCCCUCUCGGGUUACCGAAUUCAGACAAACUCCGAAUGCCA
rnacentral:rRNA from 1 species